GGUCAAGCGAAUAUAGGUUUAUGGUGGAUGCCUAGGAGCUAUAAGGCGAAGAAGGACGUGAUAAGCUGCGAUAAGCCAGGGUAAGGAGCACAUAUCCGCUAACCCCUGGAUUUCCGAAUGGAGUAAUCCAAUAGUAGUGAUACUAUUAUCUGAAUACCUGAAUAUAUAGGGUACAGAAGUCAAACUGAGUGAAGUGAACCAUCUAAGUAACUCGGGAACAGAAAUCAAACGAGAUUCCCCCAGUAGCGGCGAGCGAAGCGGGAAGAGCCCAAACCACUUAAAGUGGGGUUGUAGGACUGCGAUAUUGAGUUAGGCAUAAAAUCAAUUUGUAGGAGAAUCACUUGGGAAGGUGAGCCAGAGUGUGUGAAAGCCACGUAUCCGAAACGAAUUGGUCUCAUAGCAGAAUCCUGAGUAAGGCGGGGCACGAGAAACCCUGUCUGAAUCCGGGUCGACCACGAUCCAAGGCUAAAUACUAGAUAGCUACCGAUAGUGAACAAGUACCGUGAGGGAAAGGCGAAAAGAACCCUGGUAAAGGGAGUGAAAUAGAACCUGAAACCAUAAACUAACAAGAUGUCACAGCCCGCAAGGGUAGUGGCGUGUCUUUUGUAGAAUAAACCUGCGAGUUACGGUAUGCAGCAAGGUUAAGGAAUCGAAGUUCCGAAGCCGAAGGGAAACCGAGUCUGAAUAGGGCGAGAAAGUUGCAUGUCGUAGACCCGAAGCCAAGGUGAUCUAGUCAUGGGCAGGUUGAAGCCUGGGUAAAACCAGGUGGAGGACCGAACAGUAAUCUGUUAAAAAAGGUAGUGAUGACCUGUGACUCGGAGUGAAAGGCUAAACAAACCUGGAAAUAGCUGGCUCUCCCCGAAAUGCCUUUAGGGACAGCCUCAUAUAAAACUAUCGGAGGUAAAGCACUGGAUGAGAAAGGGGGAGUCAAAUCCUACCAAUUUCAAUCAAACUCUGAAUGCCGAUAGUCAGCGUAUGGGAGUGAGACUGCGUGCGCCAAGGUUCGUAGUCGAAAGGGAAACAGCCCAAACCGGCAAUUAAGGUCCCAAAAUUAUGCUAAGUGUGAAAUGAAGUGCGGAUGCAUAGACAGCCAGGAGGUUGGCUUAGAAGCAGCCAUUCCUUCAAAGAGUGCGUAACAGCUCACUGGUCGAGCAUCUGUGCGCAGACAAUGUAACGGGGCUAAGCAUAAUACCGAAAUUCCGGACUCAUAUCGUAGGAUAUGAUUGGUAGGGGAGCAUUGAAAUAACUGAAGAAGGAGUACCUGUGAGGGGCUCUGGAGGAGUUUCAAGAGAGAAUGCAGGCAUAAGUAACGAAAAAGCGGGUGCGAUCCCCGCUCGCCGAAAACCUAAGGUUUCCAGGGUAAAGGCAAUCUGCCCUGGGUAAGUCGGCCCCUAAGGCGAGGACGAAAGUCGUAGUCGAUGGGAAAUUGGUUUAUAAUCCAAUACUUAUUAAGUUUUUAUGGAAUGACGCAUGAGGUGAAAUCCGGCCAGGCGACGGUUGUCCUGGUCAAAGCAACAAGGUGAUGAGAGACUGGUUAAAAGAAGUUUUGAGCUGAGUUGUUACAGCGAGAGGAAAGAAAGUUGAAUCGAAGCGGACGUAAUCAAGGUGCCGAGAAAUAGUUCCUAGGUUAGGCUUAAUAAACCGUACCGGAAACCGACACAGGUAGGUAGGAUGAGUAAUCUAAGGCGCACGAGCGACCUCGCGUUAAGGAACUCGGCAAAAUGCGCACGUAACUUCGGAAGAAGUGCGACUCCUGUUUGAAAGAAUUGGGAGUGACACAAAGCAGGCCCAGGCGACUGUUUAUCAAAAACACAGCCAUCUGCGAACCAGUAAUGGGACGUAUAGGUGGUGACACCUGCCCGGUGCAGGAAGGUUAAGAGGAGAUGUUAGGCGUAAGUUGAAGCAUUGAAUCGAAGCCCCUGUAAACGGCGGCCGUAACUAUAACG
rnacentral:rRNA from 1 species